UCCCGAAAGGACGGUUGGAUUUCGUUUCGAAAUCGGUGGAAGGUGGUGGAUCCGUGGUGCGCCCGCGCCCCUCCUCUCGCGUGCACGAGCGUGCGUAACGGAACAGGGAGCCGUCGGCGGCAAGGUCUGGCUUGACAACGCGCGACCACCUGUAGUUGUGGCCUCGAGCCACCCCUGACAGGCUCUCUCUCUUAGGGGCGAGCCUCCUUCCGUGUGCACUCCCCACCAGAUCCUUCGACAGAUCCGUCGGACGCAUUGCCUGGACCCCGCGCCGUCGAGGAAGCGAAACCACGAAGCAGAGAGGAACCGGACGUCCAGACGCGUGCAAGCCUGCCAGGAUUACCACCAAAAUGAAGACGUCAUCGUUCUCUCUACGCGUCAUGCGACGGGCGCAUCGCGGGCCGGCUGUCGUGCAGGCCCGCAGCGCCAGUACAAGUAGCUUUAGAAGCCUGAGCCAGGUACAUAUGAGAAAAUGACAUAAUACCAAUACAUAUAGCCGAGAAAUUAGUUAACGAUAACUAGCUACAUUAGCUGGAACUAGUAGCUAGACACUUAGAAUCUAGACGUAACAUCGAUGAUGACAUUUGCGUAGAUGCGUAGAUUGUUCGAUUUCAUUUGGGAUUACGUCGAGAAGAGACGAGAGAGAGAGAGAGAGAGAGAGAGACGUAUCGAAUCUCUCGCCUCGAUUCCAUUAAACGCGAAGACGAAUUAGGAUUACGACGGUCUCGAUUUUUAUCGAAGAGGGGGGAAAGAAGAAAAUGUACACGAAAUGGUAGUACACGUAGUGCAUGCGUCCAACAGUUCUUUUGUCUUCCCACAGGAAUGAAGCAUGCCACCCCCGCCCACACGCACACCGAACACGAUAGUAGAACUUUUGCAUGACUCGACUCCCAGCCUGCCUUUCUUUAAAUCUACUCUUCUCGCGCCCAUCUACUCACUUUCUUAAUCUUUCUCUCUUCCGAUUCUUUUUCUCUUCUCGAAACGAAGUACGGAGCAACGGUAAGUACGAAUCGCACGGAUGAUGGCUGGAUAGGUGGCGUGUUCGAAUUGCAAGGAAAAGGUUUUCGAAGAGUUUCCAAUUCCGGAAAUGGAAACGUG